GCCUGGCUGGCUCAGCUGGUAGAGCAUAUGACUCGUGAUCGUGGGGCUGUAAGUUCAAGCCUCACGUCGGGUG
rnacentral:tRNA from 1 species